rnacentral:rRNA from 1 species
AGAGUUUGAUCCUGGCUCAGAUUGAACGCUGGCGGCAUGCCUAACACAUGCAAGUCGCGCGGGGUGUAGCAAUACACUUAGCGGCGGACGGGUGAGGAAUACAUAGGAAUUUGCCUUUAGGUGGGGGAUAGCCCAGGGAAACUUGGAGUAAUACCGCAUGAUGUCGUAAGACCAAAGUCGGGGACCGCAAGGCCUGGCGCCUUUAGAGAAGCCUAUGUCUGAUUAGCUAGUUGGUAGGGUAACGGCCUACCAAGGCAACGAUCAGUAGCUGGUUUGAGAGAACGAUCAGCCACACCGGAACUGAGACACGGUCCGGACUCCUACGGGAGGCAGCAGUGGGGAAUAUUGGACAAUGGGCGAAAGCCUGAUCCAGCAAUGCCGCGUGUGUGAAGAAGGCCUUCGGGUUGUAAAGCACUUUAAGCAGGGAAGAAAAAAUCGGCGUGAAUAUCGCCGGUCUUGACGGUACCUGAAGAAUAAGCACCGGCUAACUCUGUGCCAGCAGCCGCGGUAAUACAGAGGGUGCGAGCGUUAAUCGGAUUUACUGGGCGUAAAGCGUGUGUAGGUGGUCAGGAAAGUCGGUUGUGAAAUCCCCGGGCUCAACUCGGGAACUGCUUCCGAUACUUCUUGACUCGAAUUCGGUAGAGGGAGGCGGAACUCCAGGUGUAGCGGUGAAAUGCGUAGAUAUCUGGAAGAACACCAAUGGCGAAGGCAACCUCCUGGGCCUGAAUUGACACUGAGACACGAAAGCGUGGGGAUCAAACAGGAUUAGAUACCCUGGUAGUCC